UUCACUUGCACACACAAUGUGUUUAGUCUAGAUGAAUGAGCCGUGUACUCAGUUCCCUAUUCCCUGUAAAUGUUGUAUGUCAAGGUAUCUCACCUCAUCCAGACAACAACCUUGAGCCAUACGUUGUAUUGGGAGUUGGAAAGAAUUGCAUAUGAGACUACAUACAUGUGCUGCCUAACUGGCGUGGAUUUUGCUGUUGUCAUGAUCCGGAUGUCGCCACCACUAACUGGACAUCUGGAUAUCUGGCCGUUAGCAGAUUUGUUGUCUUCAAAUACGGCUAAAUUUAUUUACCUUGGUGCUAAAAUUCACAACGGCCUUAUUAUUCAAUGAAAUACGACAAGGAGCAGAGGGGCGGGUUCAAUGCCCACUUCCAUUUAGUGAAACAC